rnacentral:tRNA from 1 species
GUCCGGUAUGCUCAAUGGAUGGGCGUUGGAUUGCAAACCCAAUGUAGUUAGUUCGAUUCUAACACUGGACU